GUAGGUGGCAAGCGUUGUCCGGAAUUAUUGGGGCGUAAAGCGCGCGCAGGUGGUUCUUUAAGUCUGAUGUGAAAGCCCCCGGGCUCAACCGGGGGAGGGUCAUUGGAAACUGGGGAACUUGAGUGCAGGAGAGGAAAGUGGAAUUCCACGUGUAGCGGUGAAAUGCGUAGAUAUGUGGAGGAACACCAGUGGCGAAGGCGACUUUCUGGCCUGUAACUGACACUGAGGCGCGAAAGCGUGGGGAGCAAACAGGAUUAGAUACCCUGGUAGUCCACGCCGUAAACGAUGAGUGCUAAGUGUUGGGGGGUUUCCGCCCCUCAGUGCUGCAGCUAGCGCAUUAAGCACUCCGCCUGGGGAGUACGGUCGCAAAGACUG
rnacentral:rRNA from 1 species